GGGUAUAAAUGUGAUCUCCUUGUGACGUCUGGCCCCCUACUGAUUGCCAGGGCUGAUUUGGCUGAUCUGGCCGGCUAGGAGACUGUCUCCUUCCUCCCUCAUUGCUCCAUGUGUGUCCCUCCUAAAGCUGUGCACUUGGUGGAAGAAGACAAGCACCCCCGUAGAGGAGGACCAUUUCCUGGUCGAGAGUAUGGGGGUAGCUGCACUCCCCGUCUAGAACCUCCAAACAAGCUCUCAAGGAUGAAGGAGAUAAUGUGCACAGGCAGCAUUUUGUGGUUCUUGAGGAAAGGCACUACAUAAA
ensembl:misc_RNA 7SK 7SK RNA